rnacentral:rRNA from 1 species
UACGUAGGGGCCGAGCGUUGUCCGGAGUUACUGGGCGUAAGGCGCGCGCAGGCGGCGCAUCGCGCCCGGCGUGAAAGCCCCCGGCUCAACCGGGGAGGGUCGUCGGGGACGGGUGCGCUUGAGGACGGCAGGGGCAGGUGGAAUUCCCGGUGUAGUGGUGAAAUGCGUAGAGAUCGGGAGGAACACCCGUGGCGAAGGCGGCCUGCUGGGCCGAUCCUGACGCUGAGGCGCGAAGGCGUGGGGAGCGAACGGG